rnacentral:rRNA from 1 species
GACGAACGCUGGCGGUGUGCUUAACACAUGCCAGUCGAACGGUAAGGCCCUUUCGGGGGUACACGAGUGGCGAACGGGUGAGUAACACGUGAGUAACCUGCCCUCAUCUCUGGGAUAACAGUCGGAAACGGUUGCUAAUACUGGAUAUGAGCUUGCAAGGCAUCUUGUGGGUUGGAAAGAUUUUUUUGGUUGGGGAUGGACUCGCGGCCUAUCAGCUUGUUGGUGAGGUAGUGGCUCACCAAGGCUUCGACGGGUAGCCGGCCUGAGAGGGCGACCGGCCACAUUGGGACUGAGAUACGGCCCAAACUCCUACGGGAGGCAGCAGUGGGGAAUAUUGCACAAUGGACGGAAGUCUGAUGCAGCAACGCCGCGUGCGGGAUGACGGCCUUCGGGUUGGAAACCGCUUUCAAUUGUGACGAAGCUUUUUGUGACGGUAGCAGUAGAAGAAGCACCGGCUAACUACGUG